CCUACGGGAGGCAGCAGUGGGGAAUAUUGGACAAUGGGCGCAAGCCUGAUCCAGCAAUGCCGCGUGAGUGAUGAAGGCCUUCGGGUCGUAAAGCUCUUUUACCCGGGAUGAUAAUGACAGUACCGGGAGAAUAAGCUCCGGCUAACUCCGUUCCAGCAGCCGCGGUAAUACGGAGGGAGCUAGCGUUGUUCGGAAUUACUGGGCGUAAAGCGCACGUAGGCGGUUAUUCAAGUCAGAGGUGAAAGCCCGGGGUCUCAACCCCGGAACUGCCUUUGAAACUAGAUGACUAGAAUCUUGGAGAGGUCAGUGGAAUUCCGAGUGUAGAGGUGAAAUUCGUAGAUAUUCGGAAGAACACCAGUGGCGAAGGCGACUGACUGGACAAGUAUUGACGCUGAGGUGCGAAAGCGUGGGGAGCAAACAGGAUUAGAUACCCGUGGUAGUCCACGCCGUAAACGAUGAUAACUAGCUGUCCGGGUACUUGGUAUUUGGGUGGCCGNAGCACGCAUAGUUAUCGUCGUGGUAGGUACGGUCGCGAGAGUAAACGUACAANAGAGUAGAGNGUGAGAGNGCGAGACGACGACGAGGGAGAGG
rnacentral:rRNA from 1 species